rnacentral:piRNA from 1 species
UGAUCUGUAGAUGUCUGAUGGUUUGAGGU